UACGUAGGGUGCGAGCGUUAAUCGGAAUUACUGGGCGUAAAGCGUGCGCAGGCGGUUAUACAAGACAGGCGUGAAAUCCCCGGGCUUAACCUGGGAAUGGCGCCUGUGACUGUAUAGCUAGAGUGUGUCAGAGGGGGGUAGAAUUCCACGUGUAGCAGUGAAAUGCGUAGAUAUGUAAAGGAAUACAAAUGGCGAAGGCAGCCCCCUGGGAUAACACUGACGCUCAUGCACGAAAGCGUGGGGAGCAAAC
rnacentral:rRNA from 1 species